rnacentral:rRNA from 1 species
GAUGAACGCUGGCGGCGUGCCUAAUACAUGCAAGUCGAGCGAACAGACGAGGAGCUUGCUCCUCUGACGUUAGCGGCGGACGGGUGAGUAACACGUGGAUAACCUACCUAUAAGACUGGGAUAACUUCGGGAAACCGGAGCUAAUACCGGAUAAUAUAUUGAACCGCAUGGUUCAAUAGUGAAAGACGGUUUUGCUGUCACUUAUAGAUGGAUCCGCGCCGCAUUAGCUAGUUGGUAAGGUAACGGCUUACCAAGGCAACGAUGCGUAGCCGACCUGAGAGGGUGAUCGGCGACACUGGAACUGGGACGCGGACCAGACUCCUGCGGGAGGCAGCAGUAGGGAAUCGGCCGCAAUGGGCGAAAGCUUGACGGAGCAACGCCGCGUGAGAGAUGAAGGUCUUCGGAGCGUAAAACUCUGUUAUUAGGGAAGAACAAAUGUGUAAGUAACUAUGCACGUCUUGACGGUACCUAAUCAGAAAGCCACGGCUAACUACGUG